rnacentral:lncRNA from 10 species
CUGCAACUGUGGCAAGACCGUGUGUCCUGUCAGAGUGGGUGACCAGGGCCUUUGCCAGCAGACGACUUAUGGAGAAACGUUUGAGUAGAUGGAGGAACCCAUUUCCUCUGGAAUCCAGAGUGCUGAUAAAGACAUACCUGAGACUGUGCAAUUUACAGAAAGAAGGUUUAAUGGACUCACAGUUCCAUGUGGCUGGGGAGGCCUCACAAUCACCGUGGAAGGCAAGGAGCAAGUCACUUCUUAAGCUCUUUGCAUGGCACCAUCGAUGUGAGCUAGGAAACUCUUCCUUAUGAAACCAUCACAUUCACUGUCAGAAGAACAGCACAGGAAAGACUCGCCCCUGUGAUUCAAUUAUCUCCCAAUGGGUCCCUCCCAUGAUACAUGGGAAUUCAAGAUGACACAUGGUUUGGCUGUGUCCCCACCCAAGGAUAAUACAGGUGGAACAUAAAUGCCAGAUUGAUCUAUUGAUAAUUAUAAACAAUUACCAAGAAGAGUGGAUAAAUCUUCCUUUUUGAAUCCA